GAUGAACGCUGGCGGCGUGCCUAAUACAUGCAAGUCGAGCGAACGGACGAGGAGCUUGCUUCUCUGACGUUAGCGGCGGACGGGUGAGUAACACGUGGAUAACCUACCUAUAAGACUGGGAUAACUUCGGGAAACCGGAGCUAAUACCGGAUAAUAUAUUGAACCGCAUGGUUCAAUAGUGAAAGACGGUCUUGCUGUCACUUAUAGAUGGAUCCGCGCUGCAUUAGCUAGUUGGUAAGGUAACGGCUUACCAAGGCAACGAUGCGUAGCCGACCUGAGAGGGUGAUCGGCCACACUGGAACUGAGACACGGUCCAGACUCCUACGGGAGGCAGCAGUAGGGAAUCUUCCGCAAUGGGCGAAAGCCUGACGGAGCAACGCCGCGUGAGUGAUGAAGGUCUUCGGAUCGUAAAACUCUGUUAUUAGGGAAGAACAUAUGUAUAAGUAACUGUGCACGUCUUGACGGUACCUAAUCAGAAAGCCACGGCUAACUACGUG
rnacentral:rRNA from 1 species